AUUGAACGCUGGCGGCAGGCCUAACACAUGCAAGUCGAGCGGCAGCGGGACCUUCGGGUCGCCGGCGAGCGGCGGACGGGUGAGUAAUGCCUAGGAAUCUGCCUGUUAGUGGGGGAUAACGCGGGGAAACUCGCGCUAAUACCGCAUACGUCCUACGGGAGAAAGUGGGGGACCCUCGGGCCUCACGCUAACAGAUGAGCCUAGGUCGGAUUAGCUAGUUGGUGGGGUAAAGGCCCACCAAGGCGACGAUCCGUAACUGAUCUGAGAUGAUGAUAGGUCACACUGGAACGGAGACACGGUCCAGACUGCUACGGGAGGCAGCAGUGCGGAAUAUUGGACAAUGGGCGAAAGCCUGAUCCAGCCAUGCCGCGUGUGUGAAGAAGGUCUUCGGAUUGUAAAGCACUUUAAGUUGGGAGGAAGGGCGCUCGGUGAAUACCCAGGCGUCUUGACGUUACCGACAGAAUGAGCACCGGCUAACUCUGUGCCAGCCGCCGCCGUAACAC
rnacentral:rRNA from 1 species